ACUGGGAUGGCCGAGUGUUUAAGGCAUUGGACGUAGGUUCCAAUGGAUUAAAGUCCUCGUGGGUUCAAACCCCACUCCUGGUA
rnacentral:tRNA from 1 species